rnacentral:lncRNA from 1 species
AAUUUUGGUGUUCUUGAUGAGGAGUUAUGGUGGUAACAUUGAUUCAAGAGCUUAAUAGCUAAGUGGAGAUUGAUGAACGACUUUGGAGGGCAGGACAAGAACAAGAAAUGGUAUAUACUUUAAUUUUAUUGAAUUGUUUGUAGACUUUGGUUAAAAGAGGAAGAAUUAAGCAUGUUAUACGUAAGCUAACACAUUGAAAUAGAAGUUAAAUAUGAUUCCUUGAUAGUUUGGGAAGUGCUCUGAAAUUGUAAAUUUGAUUAAACGAGUAUGGAUUCUAAAUUACAGGAAACUUAUUCAUUUUGCGGAGAGAAACUAUGUUUCAUGUCGCCUACUUUGGCUCUUGAUUUCCAUGUCCUUGGGAGUUCCUUUUGAUCUAAUAUUAUGUGUUUUGGAAAUAAACAUGUCCAUGAUCAAAACCCAUAUGAUUUCACUUAACUGCGUUGAGUCUUGAUAGAUUAAAAUCAUGUCCAAAAGUUGA